GACGUAGGGCGCGAGCGUUGUCCGGAUUUAUUGGGCGUAAAGAGCUCGUAGGCGGCUUGUCGCGUCGUCCGUGAAAACCCACAGCUCAACUGUGGGCUUGCGGUCGAUACGGGCAGGCUAGAGUUCGGUAGGGGAGACUGGAAUUCCUGGUGUAGCGGUGAAAUGCGCAGAUAUCAGGAGGAACACCGGUGGCGAAGGCGGGUCUCUGGGCCGAUACUGACGCUGAGGCACGAAAGCGUGGGGAGCAAACAGG
rnacentral:rRNA from 1 species